rnacentral:rRNA from 1 species
AGCUCCAAUAGCGUAUAUUAAAGUUGUUGCAGUUAAAAAGCUCGUAGUUGGAUUUGUGGUUGGGGAUGUCGGUCCGACACAGUGUGUGGGUACUUGAUAUUCCUGUCCAUCCUUGGGUGGAACCUGUGUGGCAUUAGGUUGUCGUGCAGGGGAUGCCCAUCGUUUACUGUGAAAAAAUUAGAGUGUUCAAAGCAGGCUUACGCCGUUGAAUAUAUUAGCAUGGAAUAAUGAGAUAGGACCUGGGUACUAUUUUGUUGGUUUGCGCACCGAGGUAAUGAUUAAUAGGGACAGUUGGGGGUAUUCGUAUUCCAUUGUCAGAGGUGAAAUUCUUGGAUUUUUGGAAGACGAACGACUGCGAAAGCAUUUACCAAGGAUGUUUUCAUUAAUCAAGAACGAAAGU